rnacentral:lncRNA from 1 species
GUACACUAGGGAUCCGAAGAAGGGUUGAAGUAAGCUUUGAGGGGCAACACUGCGAGCGGCUUAUCACUAUCAUCAUCUGGGAGGUCCUAGCGUAAAAAGGGUGAGUUCCAUGAAACUCAGUAAGAGAAAUAGUAUUAAGAUUAUACUGCUAAGGUUUUAAAGGUUAUUAGCCUCAAAUAAAUAUGCUUACCCAAUAAAUACAUACCUCGAAGAUCCAUGGU